CCUACGGGAGGCAGCAGUGGGGAAUAUUGCACAUUGGGGGAAACCCUGAUGCAGCGACGCCGCGUGAGUGAAGAAGUAUUUCGGUAUGUAAAGCUCUAUCAGCAGGGAAGAAAAUGACGGUACCUGAUUAGGAAGCACCGGCUAACUACGUGCCAGCAGCCGUGGUAAUACGAAGGGGGCAAGCGUUAUCCGGAUUUACUGGGUGUAAAGGGAGCGUAGACGGCAGGACAAGUCUGGAGUGAAAUGCCGGGGCUUAACCCCGGAACUGCGUUGGAAACUGUGCAGCUAGAGGGCAGGGGAGGUAAGUGGAAUUCCUGGUGUAGCGGUGAAAUGCGUAGAUAUUAGGAGGAACACCAGUGGCGAAGGCAGCUUACGGGACUGUAACUGACGUUGAGGCUCGAAAGCGUGGGGAGCGAACAGGAUUAGAUACCCCAGUAGUC
rnacentral:rRNA from 1 species